rnacentral:rRNA from 1 species
GAUGAACGCUGGCGGCGUGCUUAAUACAUGCAAGUCGAACGGAGGGUUAGCAAUAACUCUUAGUGGCGAACGGGUGAGUAACGCGUUGGUGACCUGCCCCGAAGACAGGGAUAACAGUUCGAAAGGACUGCUAAUACCCGAUGAAGUUGUGGUGGUUAGAGUGCUACAACAAAAGGAGCAAUCCGCUUUGGGAGGGGCCUGCGUCCCAUCAGCUAGUUGGUAAGGUAAAAGCUUACCAAGGCGAAGACGGGUAGGGGACCUGAGAGGGUGAUCCCCCACACUGGCACUGAAACACGGGCCAGACACCUACGGGUGGCUG